CCAACAGGGAUUGCCUUAGUAACGGCGAGUGAAGCGGCAGCAGCUCAAAUUUGAAAUCUGGCCCCGUCGGGGUCCGAGUUGUAAUUUGUAGAGAGUGUUUCGGGUGAGACCGUGGUCUAAGUCUAUUGGAACAUGGCGUCAUAGAGGGUGAGAAUCCCGUAUGUGACCGCGGCUCGAGCCCAUGUGAAGCCUCUUCGACGAGUCGAGUUGUUUGGGAAUGCAGCUCAAAAUGGGUGGUAAAUUUCAUCUAAAGCUAAAUACUGGCUGGAGACCGAUAGCGCACAAGUAGAGUGAUCGAAAGAUGAAAAGCACUUUGGAAAGAGAGUCAAAAAGUACGUGAAAUUGUUGAAAGGGAAGCGCUUGCAACCAGACCUGUCCGUAGGUGAUCAGCCGCUGUUCUCAGUGGUGCACUCGCUCUGCGAUCAGGCCAGCAUCGGUUUCGGCGGUCGGAUAAAGGCCUUGGGAAUGUAGCUCCUUUCGGGGAGUCUUAUAGCUCUCGGUGCAAUGCGGCCAGCCGGGACCGAGGACCGCGCUUCGGCUAGGAUGCUGGCGUAAUGGUUGUAAGCGACCCGUCUUGAAACACGGACCAAGGAGUCUACCAUCUAUGCGAGUGUUUGGGUGUCAAACCCAUACGCGGAAUGAAAGUGAACGGAGGUGAGAACCCUUUAGGGCGCAUCAUCGACCGAUCCAGAUGUCUUCGGAUGGAUUUGAGUAUGAGCAUGAAUGGUGGGACCCGAAAGAUGGUGAACUAUGCCUGAAUAGGGUGAAGCCAGAGGAAACUCUGGUGGAGGCUCGCAGCGGUUCUGACGUGCAAAUCGAUCGUCAAAUUUGGGUAUAGGGGCGAAAGACNNNNNNNNNNNNUAUCCGAGGGAUAUGAUAUUGUGGUGUCAAGCCCAACAGGUUGAACCUACUGGGAACAGUCUCACUGUAGGCGAGGUCUUUGAUUUAUAGGGGCUCGCUCUAUGAGCUUACCCUUAGCCGUUUCGUAAUGGCUCACAGAUCAAGCAGAGGCCGGCGGGUGUACCGCUUGAGAUAUGAUCGGCUUUCGGGCGAUAACCCCGAGAAUUAAGUG
rnacentral:rRNA from 1 species